rnacentral:rRNA from 1 species
UACGUAGGGGGCAAGCGUUGUCCGGAUUCAUUGGGCGUAAAGAGCGUGUAGGCGGCCAGGUAGGUCGGUUGUGAAAACUGGAGGCUCAACCUCGAGAUGUCGGCUGAAACCAUCUGGCUAGAGUCCGGAAGAGGCGAGUGGAGUUCCCGGUGUAGCGGUGAAAUGCGCAGAUAUCAGGAGGAACACCAAUGGCGAAGGCAGCUCGCUGGAACGGUACUGACGCUGAGGCGCGAAAGCGUGGGGAGCGAACAGG